rnacentral:rRNA from 1 species
AUAUCAAUAAGCGGAGGAAAAGAAACUAACAAGGAUUCCCCUAGUAACGGCGAGUGAAGCGGGAUGAGCUCAAGCUUAAAAUCUCCGUGCAAGUUUUGCGCGGCGAAUUGUAGUCUAUAGAGGCGUGGUCAGCGUGGGCACUUGGGGCAAGUUCCUUGGAAGAGGACAGCAUGGAGGGUGAUACUCCCGUUCAUCCCUGAGUUGCUCGUGCGUACGACCCGUUUUCUUUGAGUCGCGUUGUUUGGGAAUGCAGCGCAAAGUAGGUGGUAAAUUCCAUCUAAAGCUAAAUAUUGGUGCGAGACCGAUAGCGAACAAGUACCGUGAGGGAAAGAUGAAAAGAACUUUGAAAAGAGAGUUAAAGAGUACCUGAAACUGCUGAAAGGGAACCGAAUCGUUUCCAGUGUCUAUAAUCCGUGGCAUAUUUCAUUGGCGAGUGUGUGCGUGCGUGUGCUGUGGCAGUGGCUUUUUUGGCUGCGCUCGGUGUGUGUGCUGUGUGUGCUUGCUGGUGCCCUGUGCUGCGGUGGGACGUCAAGGUCAGUUCGUAUGCUGCGGGAAAUGGCUGCCGAGGAGGUAGGGCUUACGCUUGCGUUUGUCUGUUAUAUCUUGGUGGACGAGUCGUCGCGGUUGGGACUGAGGUGCCUACAACGUGCUUUUGAGUGGGUUUGUGUCUUCGUGUGCGCCGUGUGCGGAUAGCUUGCUAUGCGUGUGUGGUUGUGUGUGGAUUGAUGCGGGCUUUAACUUGUUGCCGUUCGGGACGUUGACGAAAUGGAGCGAUCCGACCCGUCUUGAAACACGGACCAAGGAGUCUAACAUGUGU